rnacentral:rRNA from 1 species
AACGAACGCUGGCGGCAUGCCUAACACAUGCAAGUCGAACGAGACCUUCGGGUCUAGUGGCGCACGGGUGCGUAACGCGUGGGAACCUGCCCUUAGGUUCGGAAUAACUCCCCGAAAGGGGUGCUAAUACCGGAUAAUGUCUUCGGACCAAAGAUUUAUCGCCUUUGGAUGGGCCGGCGUUGGAUUAGCUAGUUGGUAGGGUAAAAGCCUACCAAGGCGACGAUCGAUAGCUGGUUUGAGAGGAUGAUCAGCCACACUGGGACUGAGACACGGCCCAGACUCCUACGGGAGGCAGCAGUGGGGAAUAUUGGACAAUCGGCGAAAGCCUGAUCCAGCAAUGCCGCGAGAGUGAUGAAGGCCUUAGAGUUGUAAAGCUCUUUUACCCGGGACGAUAAUGACAGUACCGGGAGAAUAAGCACCGGCUAACUCCGUG